CUAUCUUCAAUUUUAUCUUUAUCUGAUGUUAUCUGUAACUGGAGUUUAGCGGCCCCAUUCAUGAGAUGACAGAAGAGAAAAGUCAGCCCCUGUGAAUAUAUUAAUAUUGUUGGGAAGUGGAAAUAGGGGAGAAGUCAACUCCUUGAAAUGCAAAUAAAGAAGCAGAGUAACCAAACCAAAGGCAAAUGCAGGUGAAGAGUGUCGCCCCCCAUGCUUUGAUGUCUAUGAACUUGGGGGGUUGAAUUUGAAGCAUGCAAUCAUGAAUGAAUUAAUGAGAUGAGUAAGUUGACUUCUUGAACAAACCAAGGAAAUAAAUAAACACUUGACAAACCCUUUUUGACUUUUGGAACGAAAUAGCCACCUCUCCGCGUCUGUCUCGCGUUUUCCCAAUGAGGGAUUGAAUCAAGGCAUGGAUUGGGCGCCAUGCAUGCCGCCGCUCUUUUUUAGUUACUCCACACGUUCAAGUUUCAAUCUGGUUAAGAGUCGACACUCGACACUGCCCAAAAGGCAUGUGAAACUCGAAAUAAAGGGUGAAAUCAGGUACCUACAACCCUAUUCUAUUGGCGGUGUUAAAUAAGGUCGGCUGUAGCGGUUACAAACCUUGAAGGCAUACAACAGCAGAAGUAGCACUGCAAUAUUAAUUACUGGUUUAUAAUUUAAAAUUUAUAUUCAUGACAGAUAAUAUACAAGCGUAUUAUAUAUAAUAAUUUUACACUCCGUAAUUACUGUAAAUAAUCAAAUAUUUCAUAUGUAACGUCCUAAACUUUAAUUGCAUCAAUUUAGGAUAAAUUGUAUUAUUAGAACUUAACUAAAAAUUUUACAAUUUAAUUAUUAAAUUUUUUGAAAUUGUUUUAUUGUCACCUGACUCUUAAGUAUAAUAACAAUUUUCAUUCUCAAUUUUUAUAAAUUUUGUAUACAAAGGGAUAAAAAUUGAAAUUCUUUUUUAAAAAAUUUAAAAUUCUAAAAUUAAAGUAAAUAAAAUUUUCAAAAAAUAGAUAAAGAAAGAAAAAAUUAGGAUUUUUUUUUAAACCCUCCAAAUUUUCUCUUUGUAUUACCUGAAUAGAAAUAUUCAAUACCUAUUUUUUUAAUAAAAAUAGAAAAAAAAAUAAAACACUAAACAAAAUGAUUGAUUCUCUUUUGUUUCUUAACAUGGGUUUUUGGUUAUAAGAAGAGAAAAAUUUCAAACAUGAUUUGUUUUUGCAAUUCAAGUUUUAAAAAAUAAUUUAAAUGAAUUGAAAAUUUGAAUUAAAGAUGAAAAAAUUUGUGAUAUAUUUUAUAUUUUUUGUUAAAAAAAUAGCAUCAAAAUCGAUUUGACAAACCUCUAAAAUAUCAACUUUAGAUAGUCUUCAAGGACAUGAAACUUGACUUGAAGAUAUUACAAACUUAAUUUGAAACAAGAUUAAGAAAACAUGUAAUGUUAUAACUUUAUGUUUUUUUUCUAUUUUUAAUUUGUUAAUGGUAGACAUCCUCACUCUUUGCCCUUGAAUUCUCAAUCCACAACAAUAAUUAAUGAGCAGCAACCAGUACAACUAUUGUUCACAAUAGUUAAAAUGAAUUUAAAAUAAAAACCAGAUGAAAUAGAAACAAAAGAAUCUGAAAAUAAAUCAUUAAGUAAUUCAAAUAAACAAAAGAUCAUUUAUUAUUUGAAUAAGAAAUUUAAGUACCAACAACCUUUUGGCUUCAUGUUCAGAGAUUUGAGUGGUGAUGGCCAAGAGAAGGCUAGGGGAAGCUUUCAUCUUUGACUGGAGGCUGAUGUAGUGGCUGAUGAAGCCGAUCGGAAAGGGAAAGUUGCGGGCUUUGCUUACAUUUUCAAGGGCUUUCUGAUUUUCUUUGGGGAGCUUCAGGCUAGUAGGGCUGAAGGAGGGGACGAAGGCUACCGUUGGCUUCCAACAUCCCCCUCGAACAAUGCCGGAAUCCGAUGGGAGAAUGGUGGUAGUGGCGUCAAAAUUGAAAAGAUAACACAUUCCUAUUUUGAAAAGUGAGAUUAUGGGGACAAGUCAAACACACACUCAAUGUAUUACUUGUAGUAAUCACAAAAUAAUGAAGAAAAAUUUUAAAUCAACAAAAAGAAAUUUAUGUUUUUGGAUUGAUUUAAUUCCUUAUAUGGUAGACAUGCACUUAAAUUUAUAAAUUCAACAACGAAUGAGUAAAACGUGAUAGGAAAA
rnacentral:lncRNA from 1 species